UGGGGGAAUCUUCCGCAAUGGGCGCAAGCCUGACGGAGCAACGCCGCGUGAGUGAAGAAGGGUUUCGACUCGUAAAGCUCUGUUGUCGGGGACGAAUGUGGAGAUGGUGAAUAAUCAUUUUCAAUGACGGUACCUGACGAGGAAGCCACGGCUAACUACGUGCCAGCAGCCGCGGUAAUACGUAGGUGGCGAGCGUUGUCCGGAAUUAUUGGGCGUAAAGGGCGCGCAGGCGGCGUCGUAAGUCGGUCUUAAAAGUGCGGGGGCUUAACCCCGUGAGGGGACCGAAACUGCGAUGCUAGAGUAUCGGAGAGGAAAGCGGAAUUCCUAGUGUAGCG
rnacentral:rRNA from 1 species